rfam:Salmo salar isolate Sally breed double haploid chromosome ssa13, whole genome shotgun sequence.
UGGCUCCGUUGGUAGAGCAUGGUGUUUGCAACGCCAGGGUUGUGGGUUCGAUUCCCAC